CACUAAAAUGUUUAAGGUAAAAAAAGUAGUCUAUCUGUUACAUUAACUACUUUAGUACAUGUCAGUAGCUGUAUUCUGCAGCCCCUUCACCAUUACACCAAAUGAGCAAUAGUACUAUUUUGCAUGAGGGUAAAUUAUGUAAACUCUGUCCCUGACUAUAAAUCAAUAAAGCUGGAUGAUUAGAGAGCAGCACCCACCAGUACAGUUUCAGCUGUAACCAUGCUGCUUGUUUAUCUCCUAGUGUUGGACAUAUCUACGUCCUUUGUUUUUAGCGCAAUUGAUUUUACUCAGCCAGGUCAUGUGAUUGUCCGGCCUGGACAGACUUUGACCACUGGCUGUAAAGUGUCUGGUUACAGCUUGACUGAUAGCAGUUAUUGUACAAACUGGAUUCGACAUGCUACUGGGAAAAAUAUGCAGUGGAUUGGAUACAUUUGUAGUGAUGGAAGCACAGGGGGCACAGAGUCACUGAAAAACAGGUUCAGCAUCACUCAGGACACCUCCAGUAACACAGUGACCCUCCAUGGUCAAAAUGUGCAGAUGGAAGACACAGCUGUGUAUUAUUGUGUGCGCUACCAUAACACAGUGAUAUGGAUCACUGAAGUGCCUGUACAAAAACCUCCUCAGAUCAGCCUCAUGCCUUUUGUCAUCGUCACAAUGUUCAUCAUCCGAUCUCUACAUUUAUCUCAUCCUUUACUGUCUCAGUCAUAUCAAUAUACUGGAAUUGCAGAGUGUAGAGUGGCUUUUACAAACACUUUUUAUCAGUCUCCUUAUUUUAAAGAAGUGAGAUUUCAGGAAAUUCUGUAGUGAGAGUAGAGAGCAGGUGGAGGAAUACCUGGAAAGUUAGAUUUCUGCUCUGGAAAGAAGAGGAAUGAAAGUCAG